GCCCAUGCCAGCAUCCGCGCUGCGCAGAUUUUACACUCCCCACAAAAAAUCGCAGAACCACUGAAUGGUUUGGGUCGGAAGGGCACCUUGAAGAUCAUCCAGUUUCAACCCACCCUGCCGCGGACAGGGACAACUUCGACUGGACCAGCUUGCUCAAAGCCCCAUCCAGCGCGGCCUUGACCACUUCCAGAGAUGAGACAUCCACAGCUUCUCUGGGCAACCUGUUUCAGCUCCUCCUCACCCUCACAGACUAUACUCCUUAAAGCCUCCUAUGACAGACAGAAGGAUAACACCUCAUUCAUAAACAGUUCAUUAAGGCACGGUGUGUGGAUCCAUCAAAGAACUUAAAGUUAGAUCCCACUAAGGUAUGUCCCAAUAAAUAUGACAAGGUCUAAGAAGAGCAGGGCAUUGUUUUCUUACACAAAAACUGUACUGGUUUGCCUCUGUCACAUCAUGACAUUCCUAAGUCAAUUUCCCUAUUUGGUAGAAGUGGUAAAACUCUUCCUCAAGUGUGCUCCUGCUGAACCUCAGAAAACCAUUAUGAUUUAAUGAAAAAGCAAACUACCUGGAUUUGUAAGCUUCUCUUCAAGCUCAGCCUGAGUUGUUACACUCUCGGACUUUGGGGAAUGUAUAAUGAGAACAACAGACCCAGCACAGCUCAGCAAACAUCCCAGCUUGCCAAGAAUGUUCAGUUUCUCUUUCAGUAGGUAAGAAGCUAAGAUGGACCUUUGAAAAGAGGAAGAAAAACAGAAGUUUGAGUGCAUCCUGCUAAUAGUGUUCUAACAGUUGUGUGCCAUAUGCAUUUCCCUUUCAAAGAAAUACUGUAAAAUGUUGAUGAAUUCUCAAAAUGUAUUUCUGACUUAUCUGAAGAAAGAUUCAUGCAUUUGCAGUUUUACUGAAUCCUUGAUAUCUCACCUUAGGAAAAAACCCCAGAACAAGACACAAACUCCAACAAAACUCCUAGCCACAGCACCCCAAAAACCAAAAUCACAUCACCCCCUCAAAACCCCUCUCCAAACAACCAAAACCCCCCCCAACCAACAUCUGAUUCCUGAGGCAGACAUCUACCCAUUACCAUUUUGGUGAGGUGUCACAAAUCCCCAUUUUAUAGGUGCUGAGCAGUCAUGAGAUAGCAGUGACCUGUGGUUACAAAGAUCCCGGGGCUUGGCUCAGACAAGUAGCUGACCAAAGUAAGCAAAAAUAUGGCCUAGGAUAAAAUAAUAGGUGGUACUUAGAGCACCACCAAUGUGUUUCAUUAAAGACAGACAUGAAGCAAUGCCACUACACCCUGAUGACCAGUGCAGUCACAAUUCAGCAGGCAACAGAAAAAUAUCAAGGCACUGCACAGCUAUGUUUUCAAAGAGUUGUGCUUUUUCACUGCAGUAGUUCCACAACUGUAGUUCAUCUAUUCACGAAACAUUAGUUACAUACUAAACUCCUUAAACUCACUGCCUUUUCUGUGCCUCCCACAAACAUAACUUCUAAGAAUCUGGGGGCAUGCAUUUGCAAGGAAGUCCCUUGAGUUUUCCUCCUUGGAGAGAAGCCAGAUCCAAUGAAACGAAAUCAGCAUCAAUAAACACGUGGGCUGUGGAUAGCAGGGUAGAGAAAGACUGUGAGACAAAAGGAAAGAUCUACAUAGUAAGGGAAUUGUGAACAAGAGAAUAUGCAGAAAAGUCCAGAAAAACCACAGAGAAGGAAGAAAAAAAAUGUUUAUCUGUUCCAAAUAAUAGUGAGAGCUAAAAGCAGAAGAUACUCAGGAAAAUCCUUCUUCAUCACUGCCUUCCCCCAGCCCAGCUUUCCUGGGGAAAACAGAAUAGGUGACAUUAUAGCACAUCAUGAACAGCUGUAAGUCUGAUGUUUCUCAGUGGGCCUCCAGUGAACACUGAGUCCAUCUGACAUUUUAUUAAGUAGUAAUGACAUCCAGAUAAGAACAAGAAAAGCAAACUCUUACCCAAAUGGAACGCCAAGAGCUCCCAAGGGCGUCACUAGCACAGUUGGGACUGCAGUGUAGGCCAAGAAAUUCCCUAUUUGACCCAGUGCCACUGUCAAGAGAACCAGAAAUAAGCCUUUAAACCCCUUUGUAAAAAUAAGUAAUCAAAACUUGCCCAAUACUGUUCGGGAAAGACUGACCUAACUGGAAAACAGAUGUUAUAAUUUGCUUAGUUCUGUUAAUUUUGCACAUAAGCAGGAUGGCUGGAAUUUUUCUGUAGUUUUGUAUUUAUUAAUACAGGAUUUAUAUUUGCCACACAAGAGUAUCCAAGUGGGCACAGUAAUCUCAUUUGUAUCUUCUCUUAGUCAAAUAUAAAUAAAACCAUGAAUUAGAAACACUCAUGGAUUACAA